UACAGAGGUCCCAAGCGUUGUUCGGAUUUACUGGGCGUAAAGGGCGCGUAGGCGGGUGCUCAAGUCUGUGGUGAAAUCCUCCGGCUCAACCGGAGAACUGCCAUGGAUACUGGGUGUCUCGAGGGUGGUAGGGGUAGUGCGGAACUAUCGGUGGAGCGGUGAAAUGCGUUGAUAUCGAUAGGAACUCCGGUGGCGAAGGCGGCAUACUGGACCACUUCUGACGCUGAGGCGCGAAAGCCAGGGGAGCAAACGGG
rnacentral:rRNA from 1 species